rnacentral:rRNA from 1 species
AAAAUGACUCUCGGCAACGGAUAUCUCGGCUCUUGCAUCGAUGAAGAACGUAGCGAAAUGCGAUACUUGGUGUGAAUUGCAGAAUCCCGUGAACCAUCGAGUCUUUGAACGCAAGUUGCGCCCGAAGCCACUAGGCCGAGGGCACGCCUGCCUGGGUGUCACGC